rnacentral:lncRNA from 1 species
AUUCUAAUGACUAAUUACUAACACAAUACUCUGCCUCUCUUCCUAUUCUCUAUGCAAUCAUGACCCAAAGUCAGAAGCUCACAAGCACCAUGAGUAUCAGACAUCCCAGGAAAAUUUCAUUUCCAUCAUCUCUUUCUGCUUGUCAUAUGCAGAUGGACAGACUGUAACAAGACGCAUCCUGGCAGAAAAAAAGUUGAUGUUUGCAAGUGUCCAUCCACGCCCAUCUACCAACGUAUAGAUCAUUUUUAUCAGCAGAAAACUCUUCAAAAGGUCAGUAGUUUGCUGUUUUCUAAAGCAUAGACUUUAUUUUUAUGAAAAACAAUAAAAAAAUCAAUAAAUUUACACUGUAAAACCCAACAGUUAGUUUUAUCAAAUUAAAUGAGUGUAGUUAACUCAAAAUUUUCUGAAGGUUAAUUCUACUCACAUAAAAA